rnacentral:lncRNA from 1 species
GGUCUGGCUGCAAAGAACUCCAACAAACACACAUACCUACGCUGAUGCAAAAAUAUCUUCAGACAGCCUCCUCUGCUGCUUGUGAGCUACAAAAUCUCCCCUCCCUGGUUCUCAGACAUCCUGCAGGGGGACUGGUGAAGCCAGCAUGCCUUCAGAAUGAUUAAUCCGCUUGCCUUUCCCGGGGCUGUUUUGCUGGGCCCACGGCCACUGCCAAGAAAGGACACACUGUGACCACCAUCACCAGAGAGUGAAGGCACAGCCUCGAAACCCAAGGAUAGCCUGGACCUGGUACCGAGAGGGAAUCAUAAAAUAAAUUAUGCUGUGUGGUUUGGGAAGGUAGGCUUUUAUGUCCAGCCAAGUUUCAGAAACAAAUUGUGGAGUGGUCAGUUGCCCUCAUUUCAUCUCUUCCUCUAUAUAGUUAGGAAAUUAAUUAAACUUGGAUUUGGAGUGUCAAGGGCAAGGUACUAAAGUCUCCCAAAACAAGCGGCCCCUGCCCCCUCCCCUGGCUGGACACAGCUUCUCAACCCUCACUGGCCUCCAAGCUCAGUGGGAAGUAUCUCAGCCUAACAGAAGGUGGCCAAAAAAAAUAGGCCCUUGGAGGUUCAAGGUCUCCCGGGGAGCUGCCUGGGACCUUGUGAGGACUGA